UAAGAAGAGAGAUGCCCGAAUGAGUAGCGAGAUGAGUGGAUNNNCUCCAGNCNGAUAUCCAAGGUUUCCAGAGUAAAGCUGAUCUGCUCUGGUAAAGUCGGGNCCUAAGUAAAGGCUGAGAAGCGUAGCCGAUGGACAACAGGUUGAGAUUCCUGUACCGCGUAUCAUCAGAACUGUGGGGACACAGAAGGACAGCACAGCCCGGGAGUGGAAAGACCGGGGCAAGCAGGGUAGGAGUCAAGCUGGCAAAUCCGCUUGACGAUCCGAAGCUGUGAUGCGGAGCGAAUUUAAGUAGUGAAGUGUGUGAUUCCGGCUGUCAAGAAAAGCCGCUAUCGUGUGAUACGUGCCCGUACCGUAAACCGACACAGGUAGAUGAGGAGAGAAUCCUAAGGCCGGCGGGAGAAGCAUUGUUAAGGAACUCGGCAAAAUGACCCUGUAACUUCGGGAGAAAGGGUGCCUGGGAAACCAGGCCGCAGAGAAUAGGCUCAAGCAACUGUUUAGCAAAAACACAGGUCUAUGCAAAACCGUAAGGUGAGGUAUAUGGGCUGACGCCUGCCCGGUGCUGGAAGGUUAAGAGGAGGGGUUAGCGCAAGCGAAGCUCUGAAUUGAAGCCCCAGUAAACGGCGGCCGUAACUAUAACGGUCCUAAGGUAGCGAAAUUCCUUGUCGGGUAAGUUCCGACCCGCACGAAAGGCGUAAUGAUUUGAGCGCUGUCUCGACAAUGCACCCGGUGAAAUUGAAAUACCAGUGAAGAUGCUGGUUACCCGCGCCAGGACGGAAAGACCCCAUGGAGCUUUACUCCAGCUUGAUACUGGGAUUCGGUACUGCAUGUACAGGAUAGGUGGGAGACUGAGAAACUUGGACGCCAGUCUGAGAUGAGUCGCUGUUGGGAUACCACCCCUGCGGUAUUGGAUUUCUAACCUGCAGCCGUGAACCGGCUGGGGGACAAUGUCAGGCGGGGAGUUUGACUGGGGCGGUCGCCUCCGAAAGGGUAUCGGAGGCGCUCAAAGGUUCCCUCAUAAUGGUUGGAAACCAUUAGAAGAGUGCAAAGGCAUAAGGGAGCUUGACUGCGACACCGACGGGUGGAGCAGGUAGGAAACUAGGACUUAGUGAUCCGGUGGUAUGAAAGUGGGAUUGCCAUCGCUCAACGGAUAAAAGCUACCCUGGGGAUAACAGGCUUAUCACUCCCAAGAGUUCACAUCGACGGAGUGGUUUGGCACCUCGAUGUCGGCUCAUCGCAUCCUGGGGCUGUAGCAGGUCCCAAGGGUUGGGCUGUUCGCCCAUUAAAGCGGUACGCGAGCUGGGUUCAGAACGUCGUGAGACAGUUCGGUCCCUAUCCGGCGUGGGCGUAGGAUAUUUGAGAGGAGCUGUCCUUAGUACGAGAGGACCGGGAUGGACGGGCCGCUGGUGUACCUGUUGGAGUGCCAACUCCAUGGCAGGGUAGCCAAGCCCGGACGGGAUAAACGCUGAAGGCAUCUAAGCGUGAAGCCCCCCUCAAGAUGAGAUAUCCCAUACGCAGGUAGUAAGACCCCUUGAAGACGACAAGGUAGAUAGGUCAGAGGUGGAAGUGUGGUGACACAUGGAGCUGACUGAUACUAAUCGGUCGAGGGCUUGACC
rnacentral:rRNA from 1 species